UAAAUACUCCUGACUGACCGAUAGUGAACCAGUACCGUGAGGGAAAGGCGAAAAGAACCCCGGCGAGGGGAGUGAAAAAGAACCUGAAACCGUGUACGUACAAGCAGUGGGAGCCUCUUAAUGGGGUGACUGCGUACCUUUUGUAUAAUGGGUCAGCGACUUAUAUUCUGUAGCAAGGUUAACCGAAUAGGGGAGCCGAAGGGAAACCGAGUCUUAACUGGGCGUUAAGUUGCAGGGUAUAGACCCGAAACCCGGUGAUCUAGCCAUGGGCAGGUUGAAGGUUGGGUAACACUAACUGGAGGACCGAACCGACUAAUGUUGAAAAAUUAGCGGAUGACUUGUGGCUGGGGGUGAAAGGCCAAUCAAACCGGGAGAUAGCUGGUUCUCCCCGAAAGCUAUUUAGGUAGCGCCUCGUGAAUUCAUCUCCGGGGGUAGAGCACUGUUUCGGCAAGGGGGUCAUCCCGACUUACCAACCCGAUGCAAACUGCGAAUACCGGAGAAUGUUAUCACGGGAGACACACGGCGGGUGCUAACGUCCGUCGUGAAGAGGGAAACAACCCAGACCGCCAGCUAAGGUCCCAAAGUCAUGGUUAAGUGGGAAACGAUGUGGGAAGGCCCAGACAGCCAGGAUGUUGGCUUAGAAGCAGCCAUCAUUUAAAGAAAGCGUAAUAGCUCACUGGUCGAGUCGGCCUGCGCGGAAGAUGUAACGGGGCUAAACCAUGCACCGAAGCUGCGGCAGCGACACUAUGUGUUGUUGGGUAGGGGAGCGUUCUGUAAGCCUGUGAAGGUGGCCUGUGAGGGUUGCUGGAGGUAUCAGAAGUGCGAAUGCUGACAUAAGUAACGAUAAAGCGGGUGAAAAGCCCGCUCGCCGGAAGACCAAGGGUUCCUGUCCAACGUUAAUCGGGGCAGGGUGAGUCGACCCCUAAGGCGAGGCCGAAAGGCGUAGUCGAUGGGAAACAGGUUAAUAUUCCUGUACUUGGUGUUACUGCGAAGGGGGGACGGAGAAGGCUAUGUUGGCCGGGCGACGGUUGUCCCGGUUUAAGCGUGUAGGCUGGUUUUCCAGGCAAAUCCGGAAAAUCAAGGCUGAGGCGUGAUGACGAGGCACUACGGUGCUGAAGCGACAAAUGCCCUGCUUCCAGGAAAAGCCUCUAAGCAUCAGGUAACAUCAAAUCGUACCCCAAACCGACACAGGUGGUCAGGUAGAGAAUACCAAGGCGCUUGAGAGAACUCGGGUGAAGGAACUAGGCAAAAUGGUGCCGUAACUUCGGGAGAAGGCACGCUGAUAUGUAGGUGAAGCGACUUGCUCGUGGAGCUGAAAUCAGUCGAAGAUACCAGCUGGCUGCAACUGUUUAUUAAAAACACAGCACUGUGCAAACACGAAAGUGGACGUAUACGGUGUGACGCCUGCCCGGUGCCGGAAGGUUAAUUGAUGGGGUUAGCGGUAACGCGAAGCUCUUGAUCGAAGCCCCGGUAAACGGCGGCCGUAACUAUAACGGUCCUAAGGUAGCGAAAUUCCUUGUCGGGUAAGUUCCGACCUGCACGAAUGGCGUAA
rnacentral:rRNA from 1 species